rnacentral:rRNA from 1 species
GCGACAGGCCUAACACAUGCAAGUCAGGGGCAGCACAAGGAGCAAUCUGAGGUGGCGACCGGCGCACGGGUGAGUAACACGUAUGCAACCUGCCUGUAAGCGGGGAAUAACCCGUUGAAAGACGGACUAAUACCGCAUAAUACUAAAUUACUGCAAAUGGUAAUUUAUUUAAACAUUUAUGGCUUACAGAUGGGCAUGCGCAUGAUUAGCUAGUUGGAGAGGUAACGGCUCCCCAAGGCAACGAUCAUUAGGGGUUCUGAGAGGAAGGUCCCCCACACUGGUACUGAGACACGGACCAGACUCCUACGGGAGGCAGCAGUGAGGAAUAUUGGUCAAUGGACGAGAGUCUGAACCAGCCAAGUCGCGUGCAGGAAGAAUGUUCCCUAUGGAUUGUAAACUGCUUUUGCAGGGGAAUAAAGUGCAUCACGUGUGAUGUUUUGUAUGUACUCUGCGAAUAAGGAUCGGCUAACUCCGUGCCAGCCGCCGC